rnacentral:rRNA from 1 species
AUUGAACGCUGGCGGCAUGCUUUACACAUGCAAGUCGAACGGUAACAGGCCUUCGGGUGCUGACGACUGGCGAACGGGUGAGUAAUGCAUCGGAACGUGCCCAGAGGUGGGGGAUAACGCAGCGAAAGCUGUGCUAAUACCGCAUGUGAUCUGAGGAUGAAAGCGGGGGACCAGGCAGCAAUGUUUGGCCUCGCGCCUUUGGAGCGGCCGAUGUCAGAUUAGGUAGUUGGUGGGGUAAAGGCCUACCAAGCCGACGAUCUGUAGCUGGUCUGAGAGGACGACCAGCCACACUGGGACUGAGACACGGCCCAGACUCCUACGGGAGGCAGCAGUGGGGAAUUUUGGACAAUGGGCGCAAGCCUGAUCCAGCAAUGCCGCGUGCGGGAAGAAGGCCUUCGGGUUGUAAACCGCUUUUGUACGGAACGAAAAGGCUCUGGCUAAUACCUGGGGCUGAUGACGGUACCGUAAGAAUAAGCACCGGCUAACUACGUG